rnacentral:lncRNA from 1 species
UGGCGGCAGACGCAGGGCCCGGCCCUCGGGGCCUGCAGGAGACAGCGCAGGGCCUUUCAGGGCGCGGGGCCAACGGCCGGUGAGGCCGGCGUCCACCCACGUCACCUUCCCCCAUGCCUCAGCCUCCUCAUCUCUAAGACGUGGCGAGGAUGGCAUGGCCGGCUAAGGCCACGGGAAGACCCAAGUGAGACACACAUUAGACCAAGGCUGGUGACCCAGAUGGAACCGCGCCCCCCACCGCCCCCGAACUCCAGCUCCAGCCCCGGAGCCACAAGGCUCUGGCCUGGCCCAGACCUGACCCCAGCCCCCUGUUGGCUGGAGACCAGACAGGGAUGGGAUCUGCAGCCGGGGCCACCUGCUCCCGGUAGAGAGGCCCGGUUCACCUCAGAAACCCCGCAGGUUCAGCUCUGCGCCAGGAGGGAAGGGGCGGUCGCAGGCGCGUCAGGGCCACGUGGCAGCAGGGAGGGGACUCACUGCCCAGGAAGGCCUGCAGGUUCCCCUUUCGCAUGAGUUCCGUGACGAUGUACACAGGCUCCCCGCCCGAGCACACUGCGUGCAGCCGGAUGAGCCGCUCGUGCCGCAGGCCCUUCAGCGUCUGGAUCUCCUUGGCGAGGUCAGUGAGCUUCAUGUUGGCUGCGAGAGAGGGUGUGGCUCCAGGACCGGCCCACGCCACGAACAUCACUGCCCUGGGGCUUGACUUGAUUGCCACGGGCAGGGAGCCCAGCCACAGGCCUUCCCACACCUCCCCAAAGUAGCCUUCACCCAGCUUCCUCCCAAGGGCGAAUUCGGAGUGUGGCCGCUCCCACACGUCCUGCCGCGGGGCCUUCUGCAGGGAGGGCGGGCAGGGAGGCUGGUCAGCGUGGGCCCCUGUGCUCUGUCCCAGGCACAGCCCCCCACACCAGGCCUCUGGCGGGCACCCCUGUCCCCAGCACACACUCACCCCACCCUGGCUGGGACAAAGGGGAGUGGGUGCCAGGCUUGGAGGCCCAGCCCAGCCCUGUGGGAGCUCAUUGCUCUGGGGGCCUAAGUGGCACCUUUGCCCCAGCCGGAUAUCCGUCUACACAUGCUCAUUACUGCCCCUGGCCGCGCUGUCAUUAUGAGACCAGAGAAACCAGACUGCUGCCCUGGCCCUCGGCAGGGUGGCUCACAUCGGGGACAGUCCCCGGGAUCCAGCGUCUCCAGCCCAGGUGCAGCAUCUUGUGAUCUGCCUCUCCUCCCACACCUU